rnacentral:pre_miRNA from 1 species
UUUUAGUACAGUCGUGGGUUUCUGUACCAAACGUUUAACCGUCUGUCUUAUUUAAAGAAAUUAUAAAAAAAAUCAAAAACUUGAUUCAUGCAUGAGUAAUAUUCAUAUUUUAUCAUCUAAUAACAAUAUAAAUAGUAAUUAUAAAAUAAUUUAAAUAAGACGGACAAACAUUAAACACUAAAACCCACAACUGCAAUUAAA